rnacentral:tRNA from 1 species
GUUUUCUUAGUAUAAUUUAAAUACUAAUGACUUCCAAUUAUCCAAACCAAGUUAAAGUCUUGGAGAAAACA